UCAUCCCUAGAGCCUCGAGCUCUCUAAAGGGUUGUUCUAGACUAGAACGUUGAUAGGCAGGGUGUGUAAGCGCUGUGAGGCGUUGAGCUAACCUGUACUAAUGGCCCGUGAGGCUUAACCAUACAACACCCAAGGGGUUU
rnacentral:rRNA from 1 species